GCCCCCGUAGCUCAGUGGAUAGAGCAAUGGUUUCCUAAACCAUUGGCCGGGUGUCCGAUUCACCCCGGGGGCACCA
rnacentral:tRNA from 1 species